rnacentral:rRNA from 1 species
GAUGAACGCUAGGGGCAUGCUUAACACAUGCAAGUCGAACGAUUCUAACAUUUUGUUUACAAAGUGUAAGGAAAGUGGCGGACGGGUGAGUAACGCGUAAGAACUUACCCCUAGGAGGGGAAUAACUGCUAGAAAUGGUAGCUAAUACCCCAUAAGCUGAGGAGUAAAAUGGACUAUUCCGCCUAGGGAUAGGCUUGCGUCUGAUUAGCUAGUUGGUAAAGUAAUGGUUUACCAAGGCAACGAUCAGUAGCUGGUCUGAGAGGAUGAUCAGCCACACUGGGACUGAGACACGGCCCAGACUCCUACGGGAGGCAGCAGUGGGGAAUAUUGGACAAUGGGCGCAAGCCUGAUCCAGCAAUGCCGCGUGUGUGAAGAAGGUUUUCGGAUUGUAAAGCACUUUCGGCGGGGACGAUGAUGACGGUACCCGCAGAAGAAGCCCCGGCUAACUUCGUGCCAGCCGCCGCGGUAAAAC